AAAACCACAAAAAAAAAUAAAUAAAAAGGAAAGAAGCAGAUUCCAAUUACUUUUUGUACUUCCCCAUGGUAAGCACUGAGGGCUUCAAGUUGUAGCUCACUAGAAUUUCUUUAAGAGAUAUCACAUUUUGGGUUGGCAUUUUUCCUCGAAUAUUGAUCAAUGUAUUUUAGGUGUGGAAGGGGGCAGGCAUCUCUAGAUGAAAAUUUAAGAUGCACUUUUUUGCCUUUGGGUGGUGGAAGGAGGAAAAGGAUUUCAUGUUCAGGUGCAUUAGCCCCCUCCUCCUUGCUUGGGGAGGCAUGGUCUAAGCUGCUCUAGAACUUGAAAAACCCGUGUUUUUCCUUUAAGGAUGGGAAAAGUGAAUGGUUAUGGAUGUUAAAUCUUCACCAGAUGUUCUGUGUGUUGUUUCCAGCUUCUCAAAGUUCUGUUUGACCGUUGUCUCUGGUGCAACAAUACUACGGCAUGUUUUAGACCCGGAGACUAUAUAUAUGACUUUCUUAGUUCCGUACAGACAUUGUAAAGUUUCUCUUUUGGAUGUACUUUUGCCCCAACAUUUCCUUGAUGCUAGUUGUUUUACAUCAGCAAUAUUCCUUUAUUAGUCAUCAAAAAAGUUCUGUUUUGGUUUCCUUGAAUGGAUAUGUUAUAUUUCGUUAAUGUGAUAACAGGCAGUUGCUACAUCUCCUAUUGGGGGAGAAAUUCUUACUGAUUGCUUGAUAAAAAGUUUGGAACAGAAAGGCAUUACGAUAAAACCUCGGUAUUCAUUCAAGCGAAAGGAGAUCCGUCCAGGAGAAUUUCAGACAGUAGACGUUGAUUUCCCUGAUACAACAGAGAGUUACAAACUAUAUUGCCAGAGAGCGAUUGCAAGUGACAUAAAAGAAUGCGUCUCCCGAGUCCCAGAUACUCCAUAUGAUGGUUGUUUGUACCUGCCGGGCUUAUGGGCGCGGGGUUCAGUUAUUGUUUGAUUAUUAUGGUAUAAUUUGUGAUUGGAUAUUUACUUACAUUUUUACCCAUUUGCUUAUAUACUGUUUAUUCUCUUCCUAGCCUUAUUAGAUUUAGCAUUGAACUUUUUAUUUAUUUAUCUUAUUUUUUUAAUUUUUUUUUUGAGAAAGUAACAUUUGUAUUAAAAACCAGCACUUAGACAGUGCAGAAAAGACCCUUUACAAUAGAAAUAAAUGAAACUCCCUGAUCCUAGCAUGACUCUAAAACUCCUAGGAUAUCUUGUGCUUCUAUAGGAGAUUUCUUUGUACACCAUAAACACAAAAGAAAAAUACAUUCAGUUUUAAUACUCUGGACUCUCCUACUCCUAUCUUCAAAAUUUCUAGCAUUCCUCUCCCUCCCGAUAGUCCACCAAAUGCAAGCUGGGAUGCUUAUCUGAUUCUCCUAUUCUUGGCUCCACUUCCAGCUUCUUCCGAACUACAGAGAGUGUCAACAAUCUUGCUAGGCAUUGUCCAUUGUAUACCUCUUGAGAUUGAUAAAAAUCUUCCAUAGCUGAUCAGUAAUUCUGCUAUGUAAGAACAGAUGUCCCACUGUCUCUACCGUUUCUCCACACAAACAACAAUGUGUAACUAAUAUGAUAUUCCUCUUCCUUAGGUUUUCAUGAGUUAGGACAGCCUCUUUUGCUAAAAGCCAAGAAAAACAUGCUACCUUCAAUGGUGUUUUGAGCUUUCCAAAUUUGUUUCCAUGGCCAGAUGAUGUUCUGCAUUCUUGUAUCAUUUAGGCACUUGUAUCCUGAACUUACUUUGUAUGCUCCUUUGUUGUGUCCAUUCCACCAUAAUCUGUCCAUCCCAUCUUCCAUCCCUUGGAAUGUGUCAAGAGAUUUAAAAACUCAACCAUUCGUGGAAUUUCCCAGUCAUUCAAUCUUCUUCUGAGGGGCAGAUUCCACCCUUGAGGAGACCACAUUUCUGCCAAAGUACUGUUCUGAUCUAGAGCUAAAUCGAACAUGUCUGGAAACACGAUGAUAAACUCCUAUUACCUAACCACUUGUCUUUCCAGAAAGCAGUUCUUCUACCAUCAUUGCCUGCAAUAGACCACCAACCAUCCAAUUCCCCAUACUUCAAUUUGAUCACCUUUUUCCAUAAGGAAUGUUGCUCAUGAGCAUAUCUCCACAAACAUUUCAUUUUCAAAGCUUUGCUCUGGUUCUUCAAAUUCUUCAUUCCAAGAUCUCCUUUUUCUUGUCGGUUAUUUCCACUUGACUAGGUGAUAAUCCUUUCUGGUUUUGUUUCCUUGCUAAAAAAAGCAUCUCCUAAUCAUAUCUAGCCUCUGUACCACAUCUGCAGUGAUUGGAAAUAAAGUAAGCAUAUAAGUUGGGAGGGCAUCAACAACCGCAUUAACCAAGGUAAGUCUACUCCCAAUAGACAAGUAAUGGGCUUUCCAUCUAGAAAGCUUCCUUUCACAUUUCACCAGCACCGAGUCCCAUCUCUCUUUUGAUCUUGAUUUAGUCCCUAGAGGCAUAC